rnacentral:tRNA from 1 species
ACUCCUGUGGUGCAAUGGGUCAGUUUGCCUGGCUGUUAACCAGAAGGUUGGUGGUUCGAACCCACCCAGGAACA